rnacentral:rRNA from 1 species
AUGGCACGACGAAACUGGCAUGGUUCCAGGACAUGUGUCUUUUGCCAACAUGACGAGUCUAUUAAACACUUAUUUUUUGAGUGCAAGUUCGCUCGGGCAGUUUGGGCCAUAGUUCAAGUAGCUUCGAAUCUAUACCCACCACGUAGUGCACGGAACAUGUUCGGCAACUGGUUGCGGGGUAUUGAUAAACAAUUUUCUGCACAUAUUUUUGUGGGAGCGGCGGCCUUAUGCUGGGCAUUGUGGCUUACCAGCAAUGAUGUGAUUUUUAAUAACAAAUGUGUCGCAUCUCCUAUGCAGGUUAUUCAUGUGUGUACACGAUGACUCCGUACUUGGUCUAUCCUGCAGAGGCCGGAGGACAGAGACCUUUUUAUGAUGGCGUCUACACGGCUGGAGCGUAUGGCCAGGGAGUUUUUCUACCCCCAUGGAUGGCGGUGUGACCUACGGAUAGGAUCUGCCACUCCUUAG